UUUUGGGGGUAGGAUGGCAUUCUAGGGAGCAGCCUUCCGGUGUUUAACUUCCGGCAUUAGUUUCCUGCUCUUCCGGUAGCCUGAGUCCGUUUUUUUUUCCGGUUCUGUGACUCGCUUCCUUCGUUCGCAAGCAAAUUGGUUUCCCCGAGAGGGGGCGCCGAGACCUUGCAUGAAGACUGAAGGGGCACCUGACAGACAUGUUAACAUGUAGUCGUUCCUUCUUUAGAAUAUGCACAGAGAAACUAACUCCUCCAUGCUGCUGAGGCCCUGAUUCCAGAUGGAGAGAAGCAGAGAGUUUAGGGAAGAACCUGCAUUCUUUGCUGCUUUGGCGAAAAAAAUCAAGAAGGACUCUGAACAUGGUCUGGUGCACAACCAUUGAGAAGUCCGCUGUACCUCUCCAGGGAGUUCCUUCCUGCAAUCACUCUGGGAGCUCAACUGUUUCCAAUUUGUGGCACUGCCAUCUCAAUACAAGGCCUAUUUGCGGCACAACAAAGCUAGAAAUUUAGCUCUUAAAUGGCUUCACUUGGAGGUGACACCCAUAACUUCUGCUGCCAGCCCAUUGGCCAGAACUAGUCAAAUGGCCCUGCCUGACUCUAAGGAAUGGACUCAAACAUACCAACGAUCACGAAGAUGGCACAGGAUCAGGCAGUGUUUCAUUCUAUUCUACAGAAGGUCUCCAUGAGCCAGAGACAACUAGACAGCAACUAAAAACAACAGCAAACUCUAAGCGAGCUAGGAAAUAUGGGGAACACAUGGUAUUUUGCAAGCAGGAAAUGCCUUUGCAUUUCUCUCCUUAAUAUAUCACAUACCACAGUAUUGUUUCCUACUUUCCCAGUCUAGUCACAGCCCCUCCACUUGGACCUUGAACUUUAACUUUCUACCUCUAAACCCAUAAUUAUAGUUUAACCUAAUUCUUAUUCUUUAUUUUAUCUCCUGCCAGGUGACCUUGCCACUGCUUUUUCACUUGCCUGCCUUAAGGUUGGAACGUUUUCUCCCUCAUCCGCAUGCCUAGCUUUGCAUCUAGUCAUUUUCCAGGAGUUACCCGGGUAAGAGUAGCCUGGAAGGACCCCUAAACUUUCUGUAAUUGGAGUUAUUAAGAGCAAGAAACACUCUUUCUCUGGAGUGGGGUGAAGAAAGGGCUGAAGGGGUAAAAGCAGAUUGAACAAAUUCUCUGGAAGCCGGAUCCAGGAGCCAUUCCUGGUCUGCGACUCAUAACGACCCUAUAGGACAGAGUAGAACUGACCCAGAGGGUGGCUGGUGGAUUUGAACUGCCAACAUUUUAGUUAGCAGCCAUAGCUCUUAACCACUGUGCUACCAGGGUUUCCACUAUCUGCCUAGAACAGGUUAAUGCAGGUUAAAUGCAAAGGCCUCUGGGAAAGGGCCCCAGUGCUCUCUGAUAGAGAUGAGUCUUCCUCUGUCCACAGUUCACAUCCUGAACAGAAUGAGCACUACUGCCAUGCAUUUGUUUUUAAUUACACACACUAUAAGAGCAGUAUUUAAGGAAACGUAGAAGAAAAAAAAAUCAGUCUACCAGCUUCAAAACAAUUGUUGCUUGCAUACUUCUUUCCAGUCUUUAUUUUUUAUACGUUUGUGACUAUAGCAAACAUACAAUUAGCAAGCAAGCGUUCUCUUUUAAAGGUAAAUAUCCCUGGGAAAAGAACAUAUAAAGGUAAUGACUUAGUCAUUUAUAUCUUAGUAAUAAAUAGCUUGGGUAGCAUUUUUUUUUCCAUUUAACAACUAGUUGACAUCAGGGCACUAAAGGUGAGGUACAGAAAGAGCAGUGGGGGAGCUGGUAGGCCUGUAUGAAGUACUGUAGUAUGAGACUUUGGGUAGCCCAUGGCAACAAGCAAUGCAGAAAAGAGGAUCUAUGGGGGCAGAAUAUUAGAUAUAGGAAAAAUAGCUGAAAAUGAAGAGUGGUUGGCUCCGAAAGCAAAUUUGGCCAGCCUAGUGAUUUUAAAGGGGUCCCUGGGUGGCACAAAUGGUUUGCACUUGACCAGUAACCUACAGAUUGGCAGUUCAAACCUACCCAGCAGUGCCACAGAAGAUAGGCCUGCUGAUGAAAAGAUUAUAGUCAAGAAAAUCCUAUGGAGCAGUUUUAUUCUGUAUCACAUGGGGUAACCAUGAGUCUGAAUCAACUCAUCAGCAAUGGGUUUGAUAUAUUUAUAUGUAUAUAUAUAUAUUUAAGGUAUUUUAAGAUCAUAGAUCUAGUGAGCAGGAUCUUAAAAUUCAUCUAUUGGAACUCCUAUCUCGUGUUUCUCUUGACCACAUCCCCGCCAUGCACUGCCCAACUCCAGUGGUGGGAGACUCCACUGUUUCCCAAGACGUCUCCAGUGUGAUGGAUCGCAUUUAUAUGGCCUUUCUUGCCAUGGUCUUGUAACCCCUAGUAAAUGACUGGGUAGGACUAUACAAAUAAGGUGCUUGUGGCCCACCAAGGGGGUUGGAUAGCUUGUGGGGGUGGAACCAUGUAAAUAGGGUGGAACCAUGUAAAUAAGGUGUAUGGAACCCUAACGAGGGGAUUGGUAAGUUUUGUCAUCUCAUUAGGCUUAAAAUGAGCCAUCCCAGAGGUGGAAAGGGGGGACCUCACUACCACCAAGAAGAAGAGACAAGAGCAGAGCAUGUCCUUUGGACCCAGGGUUCCUGCACUGAGGACCUCCUAGAUCCAGGAGACAGCUGUAACACUGGAGAGGGUGCGAGACAGAGAGAAGCAGUGGCAGACAAGAAACAGUGGCAAAGAAACAGCAGCAGCUGAACCAGAGACUGGCAGAAUGUGAUGCGGUGGGCUUCCCGGCCCAUGGAGUAAAGUCGCUACAGUGGGUGUCCUUACCCGUGGAGUAAGAUAGCUGAGUGCCUUCAGGCAGGAGGAUUGCUGGUGGUGUGGGGUGCCUCCAGGCACUUGUUGGUAGAGCUAAAGAGCUGUCCUACACUUGAGUAGGGCAGAGGCCAGACUAAAGGGCUGAGGGCUAGAGAGAAGCCUGCCUGCAGGCAUGGCUGUUUUAAAAGAGGCUGUCUUGAUUGAAGAACUGUAUCCUGAAUUGUUCCUGAUCCUGAAUUUUAACCUGUUACUUCCCUAAUAAAUCCCAUAACUGUGACUAUGAUCUGUAAGUUCUAUGUGGCCAUUGCAACGAAUUAUUGAACCCAGCAGAGGGGUAGAGAGUGCUGUUGGAGGGGUGGCUAAUGUUAGAAUUGGUAAAAAGGUGGGAGAGAGGAGGUAUGUCUGACUUCCAUCUCAUAGGAAUCAGCUUUGGGCUGAUGCUCACAGUGAUUCUGUCUUCCCCUCGUGAAGUCACAGAAGGUCAGAUGCCCGCCACGCCAUUUUUACAAUGUCUCUAACCAUUUUUGGACAACUCCCACUGAUCAAAAAAAAUUUUUUUCUUAUAUUGAGACACAAAUGCACCUGCUCCUAGCUUUGAUUAUAAUCCUUCCUCUAGUUCUCUGUCUAUAUGACAGGUAAUUUGAAGAUAGCUUUGAGGCUGCUUUUCAAUAGGGUAAUCAAUGUCCAGUUGUUACUUCAGGCUUUCUACCCGUGUCAAG